rnacentral:lncRNA from 1 species
CUAAGGUACCUUCCAUCAUGUAGGUGAAAUUGCAAGUGGAUUUAGAGCUAAGAAUGAGUGGGAGUAGUUGGUGAAAGAAUGAAUAGGUUGGUGCUAGUCGGCGUGUGAAGAAGAAGGAAAGUUUAGCUUUCUGACUUCAUAUCUCAGGAAGUGAAAAAUGAAUCAUAUGGCUUAUAAUGAGAGUGUGAGUCUCACUUUGGUUCUUUCUUUGUUUUUAAGUAAUAAUAUGUGGUUCUCAUUACACAUGGUAUCUUACUUAUUCGAUAGCUUUACUCACUUAUUUUCAAUAAUCACCUCUAAUUAAUAUUUCUUGUCUUACUUAAAGUUGGAAUGUUACAUAACCCUUACCAACUUAUCCUUUAUACACCCUCCAAUUAGGUUAGUGUGAAAUUCCCAAAUUAAAC